rnacentral:rRNA from 1 species
CCUACGGGUGGCUGCAGUGGGGGAUAUUGCACAAUGGGGGAAACCCUGAUGCAGCGACGCCGCGUGGGCGAAGAAGUAUUUCGGUAUGUAAAGCCCUAUCAGCAGGGAAGAAGAAAUGACGGUACCUGAGUAAGAAGCACCGGCGAAAUACGUGCCAGCAGCCGCGGUAAUACGGAGGGUGCGAGCGUUAAUCGGAAUUACUGGGCGUAAAGCGCUCGUAGGCGGUAUGUCAAGUCAAGGGUGAAAUCCCCGCGCUCAACGUGGGAACUGCCUUUGAAACUGGCAAACUGGAGUGUGUGAGAGGAUAGUGGAAUUCCAGGUGUAGGAGUGAAAUCCGUAGAUAUCUGGAGGAACAUCAGUGGCGAAGGCGACUAUCUGGCACAUAACUGACGCUGAGGAACGAAAGCGUGGGUAGCAAACAGGAUUAGAUACCCUAGUAGUC